AUAGUUAUUGUAUUGUGUUU
rnacentral:miRNA from 1 species